UUUGAUCAUGGCUCAAAUUGAACGCUGGCGGCAGGCUUACCACAUGCAAGUCGAACGGUAACAUAAAAAAGCUUGCUUCUUUGAUGACAAGUGGCGAACGGGUGAGUAAUGCUUGGAAAUCUAGCUUAUGGAGGGGGAUAACUACGGGAAACUGUAGCUAAUACCGCGUAAUAUCAAAAGAUUAAAGUGUGGGACCUUCGGGCCACAUGCCAUAGGAUGAGCCCAAGUGGGAUUAGGUAGUUGGUGAGGUAAAGGCUCACCAAGCCAACAAUCUCUAGCUGGUCUGAGAGGAUGACCAGCCACACUGGGACUGAGACACGGCCCAAACUCCUACGGGAGGCAGCAGUG
rnacentral:rRNA from 1 species